rnacentral:rRNA from 1 species
UGCGCAGGCGGCCCGAUAAGUCAGGGGUGAAAUAUGACGGCUCAACCGUCAAACUGCCCCUGAAACUGUCAGGCUUGAGUUCGAGAGAGGUAGGUGGAAUUCCAGGUGUAGCAGUGAAAUGCGUAAAUAUCUGGAGGAACACCGGUGGCGAAGGCGGCCUACUGGCUCGAUACUGACGCUCAGGCACGAAAGCAUGGGGAGCGAACG